UAAUUCUGGACAUCGUUUAAC
rnacentral:siRNA from 1 species